UCCCAUGUGGUCUAGUGGUUAGGAUUCUGGCUUUCACCCAGGCGGCCGGGUUCGAUUCCGGCGUGGAAA
rnacentral:tRNA from 1 species